rnacentral:rRNA from 1 species
UACGAAGGGUGCAAACGUUGCUCGGAAUCAUUGGGCGUAAAGCGCACGUAGGCGGCUUCGCAAGUCGGAUGUGAAAUCCCAUGGCUCAACCAUGGACGUGCAUUCGAAACUGCGAAGCUUGAGUAUGGAAGAGGGCCGCGGAAUUCCGGGUGUAGUGGUGGAAUGCGUAGAGAUCCGGAGGAACACCAGUGGCGAAGGCGGCCGCCUGGGCCUGGCCUGUCGCUGAGACGCGAAAGCGUGGGGAGCAAUCCGG